CCGCAACUGGCGUAUCAAGUGUGUCCCCUUUGAGGAGUUACAAAAUAGAAAUUGUCGCAAUAAAAUCGACCAGCCCAGGGUCAUCAUCAAGUCUGUACAUAAUUACAGGAGCAGUGAUUGUGGGCCUUUUCGGAGUUGUCGUGAUGUACCACCCCUUUCAGCAUUAGAUGGUCGUGGUCUGCUUUCUUCAGGUCACGAUCGACACGAAUGACAGACAGUACAGCACAUAGAGUGAACAACAGGGACUGAAUGAAUUUAUUGCUGGAGUACACGGUUCAAACAUACCGUAUAUCAUUCCCAGCAUGGGAAGAGAGGCAGUCUGCAUGAAAACAUUGUGAUAUAUGUUAAUGAUUGUACAAGUGUCACUUUACCACCUACCACAAAUUGAUAUUUUUCUUUGAAAUC